CCGGUUUCUCCUCAUGGACUUCGAAAACAACAGUUCCAAAGUAGGGGCUUCGAACACAAACGGGGUAGUUUUGGAAUUGAAAAAAAAAGUCUUACAGAAAUAGGAACGAGGCAAGUUUAUAAGGGAAGGUCGCUUCAAUUUGCAUAAUCUCAGCUCUAAUACAUCAACGUCUGACGCCAAUAUUUAGCUACUGCACUUUUGACUUGGUGGUUACAGGUGAUGUGUUAAUGAGAAAUCCUCGAUGCUUCAUUCUGUAUUUUUGACAGUCUAAAGAGGCAGAAGGUAUCGGAUUCUGCGCUCUGCAACAACGAAAGAAGAUGUAUAGAUGUGUACAGAACACUCAUCGGAAUUGCGCCGUGUGAAAGACUGACAAAAGCGCUUCUAUAUCCUCGUAAUUGUUUUUGCUACAUAGACAAUGUACGGCUACUCAAAUGCUAAACAAGCUGAUAAAGCCUUGGUAAAUUGUUUUUGGAACACCACAAUAUAUCCACGAUCUUUGAUCAUGUGGCUUUGACAUGUUUGUUUCACUAUAAAAGAUUUUUUUUUAAUUUAUUUAUUUGGACAGCAAAGUCAUGGAAACUAUCAAAAAUCAGUUU